GUGGGGGAUAUUGCACAAUGGAGGAAACUCUGAUGCAGCGACGCCGCGUGAGUGAAGAAGUAUUUCGGUAUGUAAAGCUCUAUCAGCAGGGAAGAUAAUGACAGUACCUGACUAAGAAGCCCCGGCUAACUACGUGCCAGCAGCCGCGGUAAUACGUAGGGGGCAAGCGUUAUCCGGAUUUACUGGGGGUAAAGGGAGCGUAGACGGAAUGGCAAGUCUGAAGUGAAAUCCUGCGGCUUAACUGCAGAAUUGCUUUGGAAACUGUCAAUCUGGAGUGUGGGAGAGGUAAGCGGAAUUCCUGGUGUAGCGGUGAAAUGCGUAGAUAUCAGGAAGAACACCGGAGGCGAAGGCGGCUUACUGGACAAUAACUGACGUUGAGGCUCGAAAGCGUGGGAAGCAAACAGGAUUAGAAACCCGGGUAGUCC
rnacentral:rRNA from 1 species